rnacentral:lncRNA from 10 species
UAAAGAAGCAGCAGCAGAUGAGUAGAGAGAAGGGGUAUGGAGUGGAGGGAGACAUGGGGAGCAUCAUUUGCUCCAGGAGACUAAUCUCUUACUGGCUGUCCUCUUGGAAAACACGUGUAGCAUGUAGUGUGUAGCUGUGUAGUUUUCUCGGAAAGCUGCACCAAGAUCCUGAGCUAUGGAGAUGCUUAGCCUUCCUUGGAAAAUGUUGAGAAGGAAAAAUUGG